UUUGGAAAAUUUUAUCUAUUUGUACAUUUAAAAAUUAGCGUGAUUAACGGAAUAAUCAAACAAUAAUAUAUGACGUACCACAUGUACCUUAUUCUAACAUAUAAAAAUUCAUUUUUAAUAGUAAAAAUGAAUGAAACUUUUAAUA
rnacentral:pre_miRNA from 1 species